CCCGUAUUGCUUUGGCAGUACGCUGGCUUCUUAGAGGGACUAUCGGCUCAAGCC
rnacentral:rRNA from 1 species